rnacentral:rRNA from 1 species
AAACUCUCGUAGUCGAAGCUGAAAGGUUGAUCGACCACAUUGGGUCUGAAAAAACCCCAAUGCAAGUUAGUACAGCAGUGAGGAAUCUUGGUCAAUGGCCUAACGGCUGAACUGGCAACUUGGAGAAGUGGCAAGUCUUAUUUUGAUUAUUUACAAUAUAUAAUCUAUAAGAUUGUAUUAAAAUUGAAUAAAGCUUUGUUUAUAUAUUGAUAAUGACAGUAUAUAUAUCGUGUCUUGACUAAUUACGUGCCAGCAGUCGCGGUAAUACGUAAGAGACUAGUGUUAUUCAUCUUGAUUAGGUUUAAAGGGUACCUAGACGGUCAAUAUAUCUUCUAAAAUGUUAGUACUUGACUAGAGUUUGAUAUAAGAGGGCAGUACUUGAGGAGGAGAGAUGAAAUUCUAUUAUACCAAAGGGACUCGGUAAAGGCGAAGGCAGCCCUCUAUGUAAAAACUGACGUUGAAGGACGAAGGCACAGAGCACAAACAGGAUUAGAUACCCAAGUAGUCUUUGCAGUAAAUGAUGAAUGCCAUAGGUUUAGAUUAA